CCUAACAGCUAGCCCAUAAACACACCCAACCCUCACCUACCCAUAACCCCUCAUGCACUGAGACCAGUAACCAAACCAUUUUUCCCCCUAAGUAUGGGCGACAGAAAAGGAAAUUAGGAGCAACAGAAAAAGUACCGCAAGGGAACGCUGAAAGAGAAAUGAAAUAACCCAAUAAAGCUAAAAAAAGCAGAGACUUCCCCUCGUACCUUUUGCAUCAUGAUUUAGCAAGUACACCCAAGCAAAAAGUAUUUUAGUUUGGCCCCCCGAAACUAAGUGAGCUACUCCAAGACAACCUAUAAUUAGGGUAAACCCGUCUCUGUGGCAAAAGAGUGGGAAGAGCUUUGAGUAGAGGUGACAGACCUACCGAACUUAGUUAUAGCUGGUUGCUUGAGAAACGAAUAGGAGUUCUGCUUCUUAUAUUCUUACUCCCGCCCUGGUUAUUUAUAGCCUACCCAUAGGUAAAAGAAAAUAAGAAAGUUAAUCGAAGAGGGUACAGCCCCUUUGAGACAAGACACAACUUUUCCAGGAGGGUAAAGAUCAUAAUUUCUUAAGGUGCCUAUGUUUUGGUGGGCCUAAAAGCAGCCAUCCCAUUAGAAAGCGUUAAAGCUCUGACAUAUCAUCUCCUUUAAUCCCGAUAAUAAAUCUUAACCCCCUAGACAUAUCAAGCUGUCCCAUAAAAACAUGGGAAUAAUUAUGCUAAAAUGAGUAAUCAGAGAACAAAAUCUCUCUCCUUGCACAUGUGUAAAUCGGAACGGACCCCCCACCGAAACUUAACGGCCCCAAACAAAGAGGGUACUAGAUGAUAAACAACAAACUAGAAAAUCAUCCAAAAUCUUACCGUUAACCCCACACUGGUGUUCUUCUAAGGAAAGACUAAAAGGAAAAGAAGGAACUCGGCAAAUACACCCAAGCCUCGCCUGUUUACCAAAAACAUCGCCUCUUGUCAAAUUACACAUAAGAGGUCCCGCCUGCCCGGUGACGCCUAGUUUAACGGCCGCGGUAUUUUGACCGUGCAAAGGUAGCGCAAUCACUUGUCCCUUAAAUGAGGACCUGUAUGAAAGGCAUAACGAGGGCUUAACUGUCUCCUUUUCCCAGUCAAUGAAAUUGAUCUUCCCGUGCAGAAGCGGGAAUACUAACAUAAGACGAGAAGACCCUAUGGAGCUUUAGACACUAGAACAGACCAUGUCAGCUAUUUCUCAAACAAAUAACAAUUAUUGAACCUCUGUUCCCUUGUCUUUGGUUGGGGUGACCACGGGGAAGAAAAAAACCCCCAUGUGGACCGGGAGCUCAACUGCUCUCCUAACUACGAGCCACAGCUCUAACGCACAGAAUUUCUGACCAAAAAUGAUCCGGCAAAGCCGAUUAACGAACCUAGUUACCCUAGGGAUAACAGCGCAAUCCCCUUUAAGAGCCCAUAUCGACAAGGGGGUUUACGACCUCGAUGUUGGAUCAAGACAUCCUAAUGGUGCAGCCGCUAUUAAGGGUUCGUUUGU
rnacentral:rRNA from 1 species